rnacentral:rRNA from 1 species
AUGAUCGGGAUAACAGUUGGAAACGGCUGCUAAUACCGGAUACGCUCAAAAUGAACUUUUUUGAGGAAAGAUGGCCUCUGCUUGCAUGCUAUCACGUAAGGAUGAGUCCGCGUCCCAUUAGCUUGGUUGGCGGGGUAACGGCCCACCAAGGCAACGAUGGGUAGCCGAUUUGAGAGGAUGAUCGGCCACACUGGAACUGAAACACGGUCCAGACUCCUACGGGAGGCAGCAGUGGGGAAUAUUGCGCAAUGGGCGAAAGCCUGACGCAGCGACGCCGCGUGAGGGAUGAAGGUUUUCGGAUCGUAAACCUCUGUCAGAAGGGAAGAAACUACGUUGUGCUAAUCAGCAGCGUACUGACGGUACCUUCAAAGGAAGCACCGGCUAACUCCGUGCCAGCAGCCGC